UACGAAGGGGGCUAGCGUUGUUCGGAAUUACUGGGCGUAAAGCGCGCGCAGGUGGUCUUUCAAGUCAGUGGUGAAAGCCCGGAGCUCGACUCCGGAAAUGCCAUUGAAACUGUAAGACUUGAGGAUGAGAGAGGUGAGUGGAAUUCCCAGUGUAGAGGUGAAAUUCGUAGAUAUUGGGAAGAACACCGGUGGCGAAGGCGGCUCACUGGCUCAUAUCUGACGCUCAGGCGCGACAGCGUGGGGAUCAAACAGG
rnacentral:rRNA from 1 species